ensembl:lincRNA
GCCGCCCUGGAUUACACUAGCAUUUUCACUGGAGUGUUCCACGUCAUUCUCUGAAGAAAACAUGAGAUCAGGGGAAGAUUCUCCAGCAGUACUGUUGGGUAGAUUAUUUUGAGCAAGAGACUCUUUGGGGUCUUUCCAGACACUCAGAAUGAGGUUGCUGAGUCCAGUCACGUCUGCCUGGGCACGUCCUUAGGUUUCAAGGAUUCCCGCAGCUGGCACACAGGUUCCGAGGAUGCGUACAGACCAGUCGGGCUGACAGACAUGAAAACAUAUCAGUGUGAUGGAGCAUAACGGAACCUACAAGAGACUAAAGGUACAUGAGGGGAUUCAGUGGGGGUUCACAGAGUGGACAUUCCCC